AGUGAACGCUGGCGGUAGGCCUAACACAUGCAAGUCGAACGGCAGCACAGUAAUAGCUUGCUCUUACGGGUGGCGAGUGGCGGACGGGUGAGGAAUACAUCGGAAUCUACUUUUUCGUGAGGGAUAACGUAGGGAAACUUACGCUAAUACCGCAUACGCCCUACGGGUGAAAGCAGGGGAUCUUCGGACCUUGCGCGAUUGAAUGAGCCGAUGUCGGAUUAGCUAGUUGGCGGGGUAAAGGCCCACCAAGGCGACGAUCCGUAGCUGGUCUGAGAGGAUGAUCAGCCACACUGGAACUGAGACACGGUCCAGACUCCUACGGGAGGCAGCAGUGGGGAAUAUUGGACAAUGGGCGCAAGCCUGAUCCAGCCAUACCGCGUGGGUGAAGAAGGCCUUCGGGUUGUAAAGCCCUUUUGUUGGGAAAGAAAAGCAGCAGGUUAAUACCCCGCUGUUCUGACGGUACCCAAAGAAUAAGCACCGGCUAACUUCGUG
rnacentral:rRNA from 1 species